AUAAUAAAUUGUUUAAUAAAUUUAAACUAGAAUGAAAGGAAUAAAGAAGGAUUACUAUUAACAUACAAUCAACAGAAACUAUAAUUAAGGUGAGAAUUCCUUAUAACAACUUUAAAACGAGAAGACCCUAGAAACUAAUCAUCACAACUUUUUUUGGGAUAAAACUUUAAAACAAAAGAACCACCACCCUCUUAAAUAGAACAGUUACUCUAGGGAUAACAGCACAAUAAAAGCUAAGAGAACUCAUCUACCCUUUAGAUUGUGACCUCGAUGUUGAAUCAAGGAUUAUUAGUCGCAGAAGACUAACAGGUUUCGUCUGUUCGACGAUUCAAAAAUACGUGAUUUGAGUUUAAACCGUCGCAAGACAGGUUGGAUUCUCUUUAAAGCUGUACCACAUAAUUAUUACU
rnacentral:rRNA from 1 species